rnacentral:rRNA from 1 species
UAAUGUAUGGGGAUCUGCCCGAUAGAGGGGGAUAACUACUGGAAACGGUGGCUAAUACCGCAUAAUGUCUACGGACCAAAGCAGGGGCUCUUCGGACCUUGCACUAUCGGAUGAACCCAUAUGGGAUAGCUAGUAGGUGGGGUAAAGGCUCACCUAGGCGACGAUCUCUAGCUGGUCUGAGAGGAUGAUCAGCCACACUGGGACUGAGACACGGCCCAG